GAAAAAGGGAAGAAGGGGUAAAUGAACUCUCUUCAGACAGAAUGAAUACAUUCUAAGCCCCAAGAUUUGGAUUUUCACAAAGCGCUUAUAAACCCACCCAACUGAGCUUCAACACUUCUUAGAAACAGAUUUGGUAUACUAAGCUUGAGCUUACCAUUACAGUGUUUUAUGCAUGAAAGUGCCAAGUCAGAGAAAACAUGAGUAGAGAAUGGGGAAGGAGAGAGACGGAAAAGAAGCCGUUGCACGAGUUUUAACUGAUGAGAAGCACAUUGUCAGGUUCUGCCCUGGGGAAUCCCACUCUGGCUAUGUCUGCAGGGAUGGUAGAUGAAGAACACAGAACAAGAAUCAUAGAAGAUAAGGAGCCACAAAGGUUCACUCUGUUUUCAAAGGUGCAGUCAAAAUGUUACACUUCUAAACUGUGGCAACGAGACACACCCUGAAGAAAGAGAGCGUUACACCUUCACAAGAAAACAGAGAAACCAAGAUACCUUGUGAUGUCUUGUACAUACCAAGAAAAAUAUGUCCUAACCUUGAAAGCCCAUUUUGGGUGUGAGUGGAACCACAUCAUUACAAAACCAAAAAGCUGUAUCUUUCUCAUCCACUAUACCCCUUCUUUUCCAAAUGGACACCUGAGACUUUGAGCUACUUCAUACAACAGAGUUUCACACUGGGACCUCCCACGUCUACCUGCAUUUCAGGCCCGAAUCUUUCCUGGCAUCAGAUUUAUCAUCAAGAACCUUUCUGUGGUUCAUUUCUUGGGGCACAAUUCUCUCGUGAUGGGGACUAAUCCCGUCAAAUCAUCCAUUUUUGUUAACAUUAAUUGUGAUAUCCAUUCCAGGUAUCUGCUUUGUGUAUAAAAAGGAAAUUUCUGAAGAUACAGCUUUAUGUGAAAAGGAGUGAUUUUAGUUGCAGAGGUUUCAUACAUAAUGGGAGGCUGGUGAAAAAGAUUAUUCCUUGCUGAAAAACUCUGGAAAAAUCAUGCCAUACAGAAAGCUGUCCACAUGGCCUAUGCAUGGAUUCAGUGCUGUGGGGGAAGGACAUACUCUUUACACUUUUACAACUUCCUGAUGUGAGUGGUUCACUCACAGGAAAAGGGGCAAUGCCUUUGUACUGACACUUUCACCCCAAGUUUCCAGCCUGUGGAGUGGAAGUGAUCUGCUCCAAUGACUGCCCCAUGUGGCAUAAGUCCCCCACCCCAGCACUGAGAGCCACAGUGUCGCUAUUGGAGGAGAAACCUGAAGACAGGGGAACUGACAGAGACAAGUGCGUUAGACUAAAUCCAGCGUCUAAUGAAGUUCCACAGCAAUUACUUGCCAUGCUGUUUAUGGAAACAGUUUCCUGUCUCCUUCAUGUGGCCUCAGCAGGCCUUUCAGUAUCUCAUGCUUUGCAGAGUCCCUGUGAAAUUUUCCCUCAGCCUUUCUCAGGGUGCUCCCAUACACCUUGGAGUUUCUUUUAGCCAACAUCUCAAUCAACUGGGGCUUUGAAGAUGGAUUUUUGUUAAUAAAGUGAAUUAUGUGACACUAUUCUUCCACAGGACAAUUUUUCAUCUAUCAGGCCAGGCCCUUGAUGCAGGAGAAGGUGGCAGUGAAGGAUCUGGAAGGGGCGUCUUUCUGUGUCUCAGCUGUUUCCUGGAAGUUUGCUCCUGGGCACCUCCACCUUUUCUUCACCUCUACCUUCCUUCAUUAGGAGAAACCAGAAUGGUCCCCGACUUCCCAGAGCAGGUCCCCAGCAAGGAGCAAAGAAACAAAAUACAAAGUAAAUAAACACUGGGACAAGAGGGCAUGCAGAGUAAUGAUAAUGUUGUGAACAUGAAAAGCACUGUGGCCUCACUCCACAUCUGAUAUGUUCGGAUAUUUUAUCCCCUCCAUUCGCAUGCUGAGAUGUGAUCCUCAUGUUGGAGGUGGGCCUGGUGGGAGGUGUUGGGGUCGUGGAGGUGGAUCCCUCAUGAAUGACUCGGUGCCCCCUCAUGGUAAUGAGUAAAUUCUUGCUCUGUGAGUUCACCCAAUAUCUGGUUGUUUAAGAAAGCCUGGAACUUCCAGCUCCCUCUCUCUUGCUCACUCUCUCCCUCAUGUGACAUCCAGGCUCCCCUUAGACUUUUCACCUUGACUAUAACAUUCCUGAGGCCCUCACCAGAAGCAGAUGCUGGCACGAUGCUUUGUGUGCAUCCUGCAGAACUGUGAGCCAAAUAAGCUUAUUUUUGUUAUAAAUUACCCAGCCGCACAUAUUCCUUUAUAGCAAUGCAAAUGGACUAAUGCACCAUCCCCAGUGGCCUCCUUCCAAUCCACAACCUGCUAGCCAAGCAAGGGUGGUGGAGGCAGAUUUGAGGGUGAGCCCUGGGAUAUGAGGCAACUCUCAUGUGUGACUGGCUGUGGCCUUGAAGCAGCUGCAAUGAUUUUCAUCUCCUGGGCAGACUGAGGUUAGGAGUUUAAUCUAUGCUACGGGGUGAGGUCAGAACACCUUCCCUUGUUUUGAUCUCAUUGGGCUCCAGCCUCCCUUAUAAAGGUCCUAUUAAAAGGGGCUAUAACUGCCUCUGUCUUGGCCUGCCUACUCUAUGGGAAUUUUCCUAUAAUUUUGAAGUAUUUCAAAUCAAAAUUUAAUUAUUUGGAAUGGUUUAUUUAAAACCCUUCUGAAGGAAAGAGGAAGGGCUAAAUGAGGUCUUUGGCAUUCUCCUGUACUGCUACUUUCAGUGGGGCUCUUUCUGCCCAAGGCUCUUUUUCAGUAAAUUGCCCUGGUUGGCUAAACCCAGUGGGUUUCUUCCUAUCACCAUAUCCCAUAUACUCUUACAGGAAUUUCAGAAGAAUUACUCCUUUUUGUUUCCUGAAAUGAGCAUUCUAUGAGCCUAUGUUUUUAAAUAAAAUAGCCUGGAACCAUUUUCAUUAAAAGAUAGUACAGCAGUACAGUGCAAACAUUUAACUUAUGAAAACUAACAAGCAGAUGAAACAAAAAGAGUUGAGGGCACUCAGUGAGGAAUGCUCACUAUUGAGGUGUUAGUCGUGAAGCACUGAAGAGAGUUUGAGAGAGUUCAGGGAGGUGUUCUAAGCACAUCUGCCCUCAGCAUGUACUGUUUGUAUAGGAUGUGAGGUUCUGGACCAAGUCUCAGCAAGGAGAGAAAAGGAGUGGGGAAUGCAAUGAGGUCUCUCUCCUCAUAGUGCUCAGUCCAGGGGAAACCUAGAAAGGAGUAAGUCAGGGUCACCCUACAACUAUUUUUGAGGCCACAGUUGCACAGGGCACCCACUGAACACCAUUUCAGUUCAAAAGACACACUUGCUUAUGAGCCUCAUUGAGGGUAACUCAUCUUGUAUUCACCAGAGAAAGGGGGAAACCCACUAAUCUAGAAGUAAAGGGACCUGUAACACAAGAGCUUCUGUAUGACACUGCCAAGGCUCUGUACUGACUUUCAAAAACAAAACAAAAGUAAGAAGUUUAUAAUGGUAAGAAGAAUUGAAACCUGCAAAGCAAGUUUAUCAAAAUAUAAGGUUAAAGUGGGGAUUCCAAAUUGUCCAAUAUAAUAUGACGCUAAGUCAAAAUUUCGUUACCACCUUGAAACUUUUCUUCAUGAGAAUUUUGUUCCAUCUGUGUCUCAUUAACAUGUUCACUUAUGUUUACUGUCCUAUGAAGUCAUUACAUAGCCUCUUUUCUGAGGGCUCAGACCUCUAGACAGUCCUUCCUCAAGUUCACCUGAGAGUCACACCUGGCCUGAAACCUUUAAAUCUAAGAGAAAAACUCACCUAUACAUUUCAACAAUGUUUACUUAAAAAUCCAAGUUAUCCAAGGUCAUAAUUUUCAUGGAAUAUUGCCAGAGGGUCUUUAACUAAAUGUCACCUUUUAAUUAAGAAGGCAACUGGCAACUAUUUCUAAAACUUAGAUUGCCGUCUCAACAUUCUCUAUUUCUCUUUACCUCUCCUUAUUUUUUCCUUAGCACUUACCACCAUUUAACCUAGAUUAUAUUAAAUGUGUCUGGUUUGUUGUCUGUGUCACAUAGUAGAAUGUUAGUUCCAUAAGGGAGUAAAUUUUGACUCUUAUUUACAACUAUAGUCCCAGUAUCUAAAACAAAGCUUAGAACACAUUAAGAACUUGAUAAAUAUUCAUUAUCAAAUUCUACAGCUCAACUUAGCACCACUAGACCCAUUGACUCUGAUGCUGAUAUCUUCUCAACAAAAUCAUACAUGACAUAAGAAAAAUAAAUAGCUUCUUCUCAUAUGAUGGGUUUUCUAGACCAAUAUUAACCAGUGUCUACAUGUGACUGUUGAGCAUGGAAAUGUGACUAGUCCAAAUUGAAAUGUGAGUAUGAAAUACACACUGGAUUUCAAAGAAUUUGGAUAAAAAAAGGAUGGAGAAUAUCUCAGGAAUCAUUUUAUAUUGAUUGCAUAUUGAAAUGAUAGUAUUUUAGAUAUAUUGGGU
rnacentral:lncRNA from 10 species